AUUGAACGCUGGCGGCAGGCCUAACACAUGCAAGUCGAGCGAGCGGCGGACGGGUGAGUAAUGUAUGGGGAUCUGCCUGAUGGCGGGGGAUAACUACUGGAAACGGUAGCUAAUACCGCAUACCCUCAGAUGAACCCAUAUGGGAUUAGCUAGUAGGUGAGGUAACGGCUUACCUAGGCGACACUCCCUAGCUGGUCUGAGAGGAUGAUCAGCCACCCUGGGACUGAGAUACGGCCCAUACUCCAACGGGAGGCAGCAGUGGGGAAUAUUGCACAAUGGGCGCAAGCCUGAUGCAGCCAUGCCGCGUGUAUGAAGAAGGCCUUCGGGUUGUAAAGUACUUUCAGUCGGGAGGCGUUACCGACAGAAGAAGCACCGGCUAACUCCGUGCCAGCAGCCGCGGUAAUUC
rnacentral:rRNA from 1 species